GCAAGUUGAACGAGAAAGCUAAUUUCGGUUAGUGAGUAUAGUAGCGCACGGGUGAGGAGUACUUAGGUAACUUACCCUCUCGCUGGGGAUAACAGGUGGAAACGCCUGCUAAUACCGAAUAGUCUUAUCUGAUCUCCGGAUCUAAUAAGUAAAGUUAAGGCGCGAGAGGAGAGGCCUCAGUCCUAUUAGUUUGUUGGUAAGGUAAUGGCUUACCAAGACUACGAUAGGUAGCUGGUCUGAGAGGAUGUAC
rnacentral:rRNA from 1 species